UUAAGCGACUAAGCGUACACGGUGGAUGCCCUGGCAGUCAGAGGCGAUGAAGGACGUGCUAAUCUGCGAUAAGCGUCGGUAAGGUGAUAUGAACCGUUAUAACCGGCGAUUUCCGAAUGGGGAAACCCAGUGUGAUUCGUCACACUAUCAUUAACUGAAUCCAUAGGUUAAUGAGGCGAACCGGGGGAACUGAAACAUCUAAGUACCCCGAGGAAAAGAAAUCAACCGAGAUUCCCCCAGUAGCGGCGAGCGAACGGGGAGCAGCCCAGAGUCUGAAUCAGUGUGUGUGUUAGUGGAAGCGUCUGGAAAGGCGCGCGAUACAGGGUGACAGCCCCGUACACAAAAAUGCACAUGCUGUGAGCUCGAUGAGUAGGGCGGGACACGUGGUAUCCUGUCUGAAUAUGGGGGGACCAUCCUCCAAGGCUAAAUACUCCUGACUGACCGAUAGUGAACCAGUACCGUGAGGGAAAGGCGAAAAGAACCCCGGCGAGGGGAGUGAAAAAGAACCUGAAACCGUGUACGUACAAGCAGUGGGAGCACGCUUAGGCGUGUGACUGCGUACCUUUUGUAUAAUGGGUCAGCGACUUAUAUUCUGUAGCAAGGUUAACCGAAUAGGGGAGCCGAAGGGAAACCGAGUCUUAACUGGGCGUUAAGUUGCAGGGUAUAGACCCGAAACCCGGUGAUCUAGCCAUGGGCAGGUUGAAGGUUGGGUAACACUAACUGGAGGACCGAACCGACUAAUGUUGAAAAAUUAGCGGAUGACUUGUGGCUGGGGGUGAAAGGCCAAUCAAACCGGGAGAUAGCUGGUUCUCCCCGAAAGCUAUUUAGGUAGCGCCUCGUGAAUUCAUCUCCGGGGGUAGAGCACUGUUUCGGCAAGGGGGUCAUCCCGACUUACCAACCCGAUGCAAACUGCGAAUACCGGAGAAUGUUAUCACGGGAGACACACGGCGGGUGCUAACGUCCGUCGUGAAGAGGGAAACAACCCAGACCGCCAGCUAAGGUCCCAAAGUCAUGGUUAAGUGGGAAACGAUGUGGGAAGGCCCAGACAGCCAGGAUGUUGGCUUAGAAGCAGCCAUCAUUUAAAGAAAGCGUAAUAGCUCACUGGUCGAGUCGGCCUGCGCGGAAGAUGUAACGGGGCUAAACCAUGCACCGAAGCUGCGGCAGCGACGCUUAUGCGUUGUUGGGUAGGGGAGCGUUCUGUAAGCCUGUGAAGGUGUGCUGUGAGGCAUGCUGGAGGUAUCAGAAGUGCGAAUGCUGACAUAAGUAACGAUAAAGCGGGUGAAAAGCCCGCUCGCCGGAAGACCAAGGGUUCCUGUCCAACGUUAAUCGGGGCAGGGUGAGUCGACCCCUAAGGCGAGGCCGAAAGGCGUAGUCGAUGGGAAACAGGUUAAUAUUCCUGUACUUGGUGUUACUGCGAAGGGGGGACGGAGAAGGCUAUGUUGGCCGGGCGACGGUUGUCCCGGUUUAAGCGUGUAGGCUGGUUUUCCAGGCAAAUCCGGAAAAUCAAGGCUGAGGCGUGAUGACGAGGCACUACGGUGCUGAAGCAACAAAUGCCCUGCUUCCAGGAAAAGCCUCUAAGCAUCAGGUAACAUCAAAUCGUACCCCAAACCGACACAGGUGGUCAGGUAGAGAAUACCAAGGCGCUUGAGAGAACUCGGGUGAAGGAACUAGGCAAAAUGGUGCCGUAACUUCGGGAGAAGGCACGCUGAUAUGUAGGUGAAGUCCCUCGCGGAUGGAGCUGAAAUCAGUCGAAGAUACCAGCUGGCUGCAACUGUUUAUUAAAAACACAGCACUGUGCAAACACGAAAGUGGACGUAUACGGUGUGACGCCUGCCCGGUGCCGGAAGGUUAAUUGAUGGGGUUAGCGCAAGCGAAGCUCUUGAUCGAAGCCCCGGUAAACGGCGGCCGUAACUAUAACGGUCCUAAGGUAGCGAAAUUCCUUGUCGGGUAAGUUCCGACCUGCACGAAUGGCGUAAUGAUGGCCAGGCUGUCUCCACCCGAGACUCAGUGAAAUUGAACUCGCUGUGAAGAUGCAGUGUACCCGCGGCAAGACGGAAAGACCCCGUGAACCUUUACUAUAGCUUGACACUGAACAUUGAGCCUUGAUGUGUAGGAUAGGUGGGAGGCUUUGAAGUGUGGACGCCAGUCUGCAUGGAGCCGACCUUGAAAUACCACCCUUUAAUGUUUGAUGUUCUAACGUGGACCCGUAAUCCGGGUUGCGGACAGUGUCUGGUGGGUAGUUUGACUGGGGCGGUCUCCUCCUAAAGAGUAACGGAGGAGCACGAAGGUUGGCUAAUCCUGGUCGGACAUCAGGAGGUUAGUGCAAUGGCAUAAGCCAGCUUGACUGCGAGCGUGACGGCGCGAGCAGGUGCGAAAGCAGGUCAUAGUGAUCCGGUGGUUCUGAAUGGAAGGGCCAUCGCUCAACGGAUAAAAGGUACUCCGGGGAUAACAGGCUGAUACCGCCCAAGAGUUCAUAUCGACGGCGGUGUUUGGCACCUCGAUGUCGGCUCAUCACAUCCUGGGGCUGAAGUAGGUCCCAAGGGUAUGGCUGUUCGCCAUUUAAAGUGGUACGCGAGCUGGGUUUAGAACGUCGUGAGACAGUUCGGUCCCUAUCUGCCGUGGGCGCUGGAGAACUGAGGGGGGCUGCUCCUAGUACGAGAGGACCGGAGUGGACGCAUCACUGGUGUUCGGGUUGUCAUGCCAAUGGCACUGCCCGGUAGCUAAAUGCGGAAGAGAUAAGUGCUGAAAGCAUCUAAGCACGAAACUUGCCCCGAGAUGAGUUCUCCCUGACCCUUUAAGGGUCCUGAAGGAACGUUGAAGACGACGACGUUGAUAGGCCGGGUGUGUAAGCGCAGCGAUGCGUUGAGCUAACCGGUACUAAUGAACCGUGAGGCUUAACCUU
rnacentral:rRNA from 1 species